rnacentral:lncRNA from 1 species
UUAUUAUAGAUAGAGAUACACUGUAAACAGCAAUAAUGUUGAGCAAAGUAAGAUUUACAAAUAAGUCAACAUGAUUGAAAUGGUCAGUUAACCCCUUUAGGAGUUAUUGCCCUUUAUAGUCAAUUUUUAACCAUUUUUCGUAAAUCUUAGUUAUCUUUUACAAAAAUCUUCUCCUCUGAAACUACUGGGCCAAGUUCAUUAUAAAUAGAGAUAAUUGUAAGCAGUAAGAAUGUUCAGUAAAGUAAGAUGUACAAACACAUCACCAUCACAAAAACACGAUUUUUGUCAUGAAUCCAUCUGCGUCCUUUGUUUAAUACUCACAUAGACCAAGGUGAGCGACACAGGCUCUUUAG